ACCUCCUGCCUUUAUUUCUGCUGGAGGUGUAAAGUAAGUCAAAGCUUUCUGCAGUCGCUAAUCUAUUCAUAUCUUUUGGGUCCGGUGCUGUUUUUGUUGGCUGUGCCCCAGGAGGUGGAGGUGUGGAAGUGCCUUUCUGCUGGUCUCCACAAGUGGGUGUCGGUGUUUCCUCCGUUCCAGGCACCUCCUCGGACGCUGUGGCCUUGCGGGGGGAGUGGGUGGAUGCCAGUGUGGCCAUACCCUGCCUGUCCCUAACUUUUUAAUCCUUUUAUUUUGGCCUUGCCUUCCUUCCAUGGAACAUCACUGGGUAGCCACUGGGAGGUGUGAAUGGCUCGGGAUGGAAACCGCAGCUUGUAGGUGUGCCCUCUGCCAGGCUUUUCUGGCACCUGAGGAAGCCCGGCCUCCGCCUGCUCCUGAGUAAAAGGGGUAUUGCCGGCUGCUCGGUGAGAAAACAAAUUUGCAGAGAUACAGGAAAGUGUGCUAAGGUGGUGCGAAGCAACAGGAGUGAGAUUCCUGGCAGCUCGGCAGGACAGCAAGCCCGUGCUGGUGUUCAGCUGUUUGUCACGACUGCUUCGGCAGCGGGUCCAGCUGUGUCCGGGGGUCCAUCCAGCUGCACCCAGACACGUGCAGCCUGUGCUGGGGGCGGGAGCAGGGACAAGGCACCAACCCGUGUGGAAGAUAAUAGGUUUGAGGGGCUGGAGGGAAGAGCGUGACCCGGACUGGCUGCUGCAUAGUUGUGGGAAGUGAAGAGGAACCGCUGCCCCUCUGCCCCUGGCCUGGGUGCGGGGCUGUCACUGCACCCCGGCUCCCUUUCAGAGCACCCACCAGCCCGCCGGGGGUCUGCACACCCUGUCUGGAUGCUGGGUGCAGGGCUGGAAAGCCCCAGCAGCCCCCUCCCGCAGCGCCGCAGACCUCCCUGCCGCCCACUUGCCGCUGAUGCCCGCCGCCUCCUGCAGAGAAACGUCCCUCUCCUUAUCGGGGUUCAGCCAUUCCCAGUGAAGUUACAAACCCUUUAGGGCAAGGAGCAAGUCUCGUCUGAUCUCUCCUCCCUGAGCGCUCUGCAACUGUGGGAAGCUGGAGAAGGGAUUUCCAUCCUGCCGGUGCGGUAACGGGAGCCGAGAGAGCACCCCAGCCUGGCUGCAGCAAGGUGAGGGAUGGAGCAGGAGAUGUUUUGCACCACUGGCCCAUAAGAUCCGUGAAGCAGCUGACAGGGAGACCGGUGUGCCAUCCCUCUGCGGGUCCCUGGAGCAGCACCCCGUCCCCCCUCCCUGUGGGGAGCCCACCCAUGUGGGACAGCCUGCGCAGCCGGGUGCCAGCACCCUCUUUUCUCCAGGAUGCAGCUGGGCACGUGGCAGUCCUGGGGUCCCCAGCAUCCUUGCUGGGCCCAAAAUCGGGAGCUGAUUAUGGUGUACGGCAAGGGCACAGCUUCAAAUGGGUGCCUCGGUCUGCACAGGGCUCUGUGCCUGCCAGGGCAGGGCGAAGUAGUCAAAUAUCUCUCACCUAAAUGAAUUGUCAUUCAGGUUAAGGAGAGUGCCAGAAGCUUUAAAGAGGCUGUUGGCAGUUUCCAGAAGAAAAAGCAAGUGACACCUGCUGCACGUCAAACAGCAGUUGCCCUUGUAUCGAUAGGGUGGUUAGUGCACGAAACAGAAGCAGUCGGGGACAUGGAAAGGCACAGAUCUCAGAAACCAGCACAUUUUUUUCAAAUGCUGCUUCCACGCUCCCAAGCCUAUAUGCACAGUGGGGCAAUAACCCAGCACAGCAAUUUCUGUUGGCCUCUGCCCAUUUCCAGCCAGAGCAGCCCUGGCUCCUGAUUUAUUCAUCAGAUGUCAAACAGUGGAAUGUUUCCACAAUUUUUCCCUCUGAAAGAAUGUGGUAGGACUAAAUGCUUUCACCUUUUUUUUUAAGAGAAAUUCUAAAACUACUCAGGAGCCUUUCGGAUCGUAACAUUUGUCUGACAGGCAGUGCUGGUGUCAGAAGGUGCUGCUUGCUGUGCUGGUGGCAGCUCACCUCCAGUAAGCCCAGCUAGAACCCUUUGAAAAAUACCGUUUUGGCCCCUCACGGUGGAACUUGUCAUAACCGUGUUUCCAAACACACGGGUUGCACUCCACACAUCUUACAGCUCCAUGAGAUAUUUGCAUCAGGAAGGCAGCUUGCUUUCCUGCCUAUCCUGUUCCAUCAAAACACACUUUUAGCACCAGGCAGGAAGCCAAGGUCAAGUCUCCUUUUCUUUUUUUUUUUUUUUGUUCCCCCUGCCUGCUCUGAAUACAUUAUGAUACUGACUUCAGUCCCACUAUUAUAUCUUUUUCCCACAAGACCGUUGCCUCAUUCAGACUGCAGCGGGGAACAUGCUUUCAUCUCUGCCAGCUGGGCAUGGCUGGAGCACCCCACGCCCGUAGGAGCUGCGUGGAGAGGACACGGGGGCGAGGCUUUGCACAUUCCCAUGUACGGAGGACAGAGGGGUUUGGUCAUGUCCAAAUCUGGGAGGGCAUUUCCAGGGAGCCUCUCCCACUGCUGCCUUUGUCAGGCCAGUAGCGAAGGAUGUCGAUGAGGAUGGGAUUCCUCUCACUUGAUUUUAGAUGCCUAAAAGUUAGGUGUCUAAACCUAAUUACUCGGACAGGCUCCCUGCAUAGUCAGUGGAGACAAAUAGGCACCUCUAGUGUGUGAUUCAUCUCACCUAUCUUGAACAUUUAUCUUGAGAAGGGCUGACUCACUGGGCAGCCAAGCGCCCGCUUCUCUUCUGUGACUGUAAAGGCAGAUCGGCAACUUGCUGAGGAUUUGACGACUAGAUUUUGGAUGUCCCAAGCUAGGCAAGGUGAGUCCUACUCCCAGCUACAGCAGUGGCUGUGGGAAGCAUCAUCACUGUGCUCCAGCUUGAGCCCUCCCCUGCCACCAACUUCCCUCAGAGGGUCCAUUUCCAGCCCUCCCCAAGCAGGGCUGGGUGUUAGUCUGUCCAAAUCACAUUAUCAGUUCUUAUCACAUUAUCAGACCAAGUUAAAUAUUUAUAAAGCACCUGGGGGCAGGGUCCAUGUCUUUCUCAUGUUUGCAUAUUCCCUCGAGGAGCGAAGCCCCCGCGUGGGUUGCAACCCUUUGCAGGGACUGGUGCAAUACGGCACCUUGAGUCCCUCUGCCAAUCUGCAGAUCUUGACGAAAUGUAUCUGGAAAUACAAAAAGAGCUCACGGACAUUGGGAAAUAGGCAGGAGUGAAUCAUAAGAGUCAGGAGAAGCUACUAACGUGUGGGAAAAAGGCAAAUGUGCUACCUCGGCACAAACAUAUAAUAAGGAAGUAUGUAAUAAUAAUUAUUGUUAUUGUAAUAUGGUCUGGGUGAGCAUUUGGGAAAAAGAUAUCUAAUAACUGACAAGCGACGUGGCUCAGUUUGUUUUGAUCUGAAAUUCAAACAAUGGUUGUGUUUAUAAGGCAAUAAUACGCAGGGCACAGAGCACUGGCUCCGCACCAACUAUGCACUCCCCAAGUCGGGUUUAUAUAGGUCAUGCCAGACAAAUAAUAGUGUUCUUCAAUAUAAUUACUGAUUCAUUACGGAGAGAGAAUGUAAUUGAGUCUGUUUGGAUUUCAGGGAGGCGUUAGAUAUGAUAAAUUCAUACAUUUGGACUCAGA